GGGUUGUAGGUCAAGUGUAGGCCAGGUGUCGCUUAUCGAAAGGACUGAAAAUCCGUGUGUCGGCGGUUCAAAUCCGCCCCUGCCCA
rnacentral:tRNA from 1 species